AGAGAACAGAAAGGAAGAUACUUCGUGAUCUCUUUUAUAUGUGAAAUAAAAACAACAACAACAACUUGAAUACAUGGAAACAGAGGAUGGAACUGAUGGGCGUCAAUGGAGGUGUGGAAGAGUAUUGAAAUAUGUAGAUCAAAGAGACUUCUCUGAACAUGGAAGAUAUGAUCUUGGUCUUGCUGAAGCUGAAGAUGGAUCACAGUGUGAAGACCCUUUUGAGGGUGGAGGGCUCUCUUUAUCUUCCUUUCAGUCUCUCUCUCAUGGAAGAAAAAAAUUAAAUUGUAAAUUAAUUUAAAUUAAAUGGGAAAUCUGAAGCACAGCAUGAGGACUAAAGCAAUAAUAUAUCACCGUCAACUGGAACUUUAUGAAAGAUUUAUUUCCUUAUGCACAAAAAGGUAACUGAGAUGAUGGAUAUAUUAAAUUGCUUAGUUGUGUUAGCCAUUUCCCUAUAUAUAUGUAUAUCAAGACAUCAUGUUGUAUACAUUAAAUUUACACAAUAAAUGGAGAGAAAAUUAAAAACAAAUGAAAAAGUGGGCAUAGGACCCAAGUCCCCCAAAAAUGUGCAAGAAGGAAUUCCAAACAUGCAUUACUUCCUAACAUGUGAGUAAAGAGAUCCUUCAAUAUUGAAUAUGUAGGUUGGUGUUUUCUGGUUCUGUAGAUAAGGUCUUACUAUUGUUCUACAAAUUUAGAGAUGCUGUUUAAUUAUUAAACAAGUAUUAAACAGUUUCAUGUACACUGUUGUUUCACAUAAAAACUUGGUCUCUAAAUCAAUAAACUCAUAGAAUAAAGCACAUUUGAAUAAUUA